rnacentral:rRNA from 1 species
UACGAAGGGGGCUAGCGUUGUUCGGAUUUACUGGGCGUAAAGCGCUCGUAGGCGGCUUGUUAAGUCAGAGGUGAAAGCCUGGAGCUCAACUCCAGAACUGCCUUUGAUACUGGCGAGCUCGAGUAUGGUAGAGGUUGGUGGAACUCCGAGUGUAGAGGUGAAAUUCGUAGAUAUUCGGAAGAACACCAGUGGCGAAGGCGGCCAACUGGACCAUUACUGACGCUGAGGAGCGAAAGCGUGGGGAGCAAACAGG